rnacentral:rRNA from 1 species
UACGUACCGUCCAAACGUUAUUCGGAAUCACUGGGCUUAAAGAGUUCGUAGGCGGCUCAGAAAGUUGGAUGUGAAAUCCCUCGGCUCAACCGAGGAAUUGCGCUCAAAACUACUGAGCUAGAGGGAGAUAGAGGUGAGCGGAACUGAUGGUGGAGCGGUGAAAUGCGUUGAUAUCAUCAGGAACACCGGAGGCGAAGGCGGCUCACUGGGUCUUUCCUGACGCUGAGGAACGAAAGCUAGGGGAGCGAACGGG